rnacentral:rRNA from 1 species
CAGAGAGCUUGCUCUCGGGUGACGAGUGGCGGACGGGUGAGUAAUGUCUGGGGAUCUGCCCGAUAGAGGGGGAUAACCACUGGAAACGGUGGCUAAUACCGCAUAACGUCGCAAGACCAAAGAGGGGGACCUUCGGGCCUCUCACUAUCGGAUGAACCCAGAUGGGAUUAGCUAGUAGGCGGGGUAACGGCCCACCUAGGCGACGAUCCCUAGCUGGUCUGAGAGGAUGACCAGCCACACUGGAACUGAGACACGGUCCAGACUCCUACGGGAGGCAGCAGUGGGGAAUAUUGCACAAUGGGCGCAAGCCUGAUGCAGCCAUGCCGCGUGUAUGAAGAAGGCCUUCGGGUUGUAAAGUACUUUCAGCGGGGAGGAAGGCAUUGUGGUUAAUAACCGCAGUGAUUGACGUUACCCGCAGAAGAAGCACCGGCUAACUCCGUGCCAGCAGCCGCGGUAAUACGGAGGGUGCAAGCGUUAAUCGGAAUUACUGGGCGUAAAGCGCACGCAGGCGGUCUGUUAAGUCAGAUGUGAAAUCCCCGGGCUUAACCUGGGAACUGCAUUUGAAACUGGCAGGCUUGAGUCUCGUAGAGGGGGGUAGAAUUCCAGGUGUAGCGGUGAAAUGCGUAGAGAUCUGGAGGAAUACCGGUGGCGAAGGCGGCCCCCUGGACGAAGACUGACGCU